GGAAGUAAAAGUCGUAACAAGAUUUCCGUAGGUGAACCUGCGGAAGGACCAUUCAUAAUAAGUGUUUUACUGCACUUUUUAAAAAUAGUACUCACCUUGUGUGCAAUGUUGUGUUUCUUUUCGGAGAAACACCUACACCAACCUAUAACCUUGAACCACUUUGUCUGAAAAACUAUUAUGAAUACUUAAUUCAAAAUACAACUUUCAACAACGGAUCUCUUGGCUCUC
rnacentral:misc_RNA from 1 species